ACCCGGCUAGCUCAGUUGGUAGAGCAUGAGACUCUUAAUCGCAGGGUCGUGGGUUCGAGUCCCACACUGGGUG